UAGAGUUUGAUCCUGGUUCAGGUUGAACGCUGGCGGCAUGCCUUACACAUGCAAGUCGAACGGCAGCACGGGGGCAACCCUGGUGGCGAGUGGCGAACGGGUGAGUAAUAUAUCGGAACGUACCCAGUAGUGGGGGAUAACUAUCCGAAAGGAUAGCUAAUACCGCAUACGAUCUGUGGAUGAAAGCAGGGGAUCUUCGGACCUUGUGCUAUUGGAAUGGCCGAUAUCUGAUUAGCUAGUUGGUAGGGUAAAAGCCUACCAAGGCGACGAUCAGUAGCUGGUCUGAGAGGACGACCAGCCACACUGGAACUGAGACACGGUCCAGACUCCUACGGGAGGCAGCAGUGGGGAAUUUUGGACAAUGGGGGCAACCCUGAUCCAGCAAUGCCGCGUGAGUGAAGAAGGCCCUCGGGUUGUAAAGCUCUUUUGUCAGGGAAGAAACGGUGAUCUCUAAUAUAGAUUGCUAAUGACGGUACCUGAAGAAUAAGCACCGGCUAACUACGUGCCAGCAGCCGCGGUAAUACGUAGGGUGCAAGCGUUAAUCGGAAUUACUGGGCGUAAAGCGUGCGCAGGCGGUUUUGUAAGUCUGAUGUGAAAUCCCCGGGCUCAACCUGGGAACUGCAUUGGAGACUGCAAGGCUAGAGUGUGUCAGAGGGGGGUAGAAUUCCACGUGUAGCAGUGAAAUGCGUAGAGAUGUGGAGGAAUACCGAUGGCGAAGGCAGCCCCCUGGGAUAACACUGACGCUCAUGCACGAAAGCGUGGGGGAGCAAACAGGAUUAGAUACCC
rnacentral:rRNA from 1 species